UACGUAGGGGGCAAGCGUUGUCCGGAAUCAUUGGGCGUAAAGAGCGUGUAGGCGGCCAGAAAAGUCCGCUGUGAAAACUCGAGGCUCAACUUCGAGCUGUCGGUGGAAACUUUCUGGCUAGAGUCCGGAAGAGGAGAAUGGAAUUCCUGGUGUAGCGGUGAAAUGCGCAGAUAUCAGGAAGAACACCCGUGGCGAAGGCGGUUCUCUGGGACGGUACUGACGCUGAGACGCGAAAGCAUGGGGAGCGAACAGG
rnacentral:rRNA from 1 species